AGAGAGAGACAUGCGCGCAUAUCAAUAAGCGGAGGAAAAGAAACUAACAAGGAUUCCCUUAGUAACAGCGAGUGAAGCGGGAAGAGCUCAAAUUUGAAAUCUUCAAGGUUUUACCUUGACGAAUUGUAGUUUAAAGAAGUGUUUUCUGUUGGAGUUUCGGUAAAAGUUCUUUGGAAUAGGACAUCAUAGAGGGUGAGAAUCCCGUAUUUGACCAUUACUUUCCAGCUGUGUGAUACACUUUCAAAGAGUCGGAUUGUUUGGGAAUGCAGUCCCAAAAUGGGUGGUAAAUUUCAUCUAAAGCUAAAUAUUGGCGAGAGACCGAUAGCGAACAAGUACCGUGAGGGAAAGAUGAAAAGAACUUUGAAAAGAGAGUUAAACAGUACGUGAAAUUGUCAAAAGGGAAGCGUUUGACACCAGUGUUGUUUAGUUGAAAAUCAAUUCAAUAGUUUUUGAUUCUAAGUAGUAUUGACUUCAUCAGCUUGCUGCUUUCUUCUCAGAAAUUAUUGAAUGCACUUUUCAGUUAACAAGUCAACAUCAAUUUCUUUUGUUGUAAAAGGGUAUGAGGAAGGUGGCUUUCUUUUCGGAGAAAGUGUUUAUAGCCUUGUGCCUCUGCAAUCGGAGAGAUUGAGGUCUGCAGCGUAGAUCCUUCGGGGUUAGAUACAUUUGUGCUAAGCUAUAGCCUUGUAUAGACAACUUGUUGACUAUGCUCAGUCAUGUAGCUUACUCGCUGAUGCUAUUUUACCUACGCUUAGGAUGUUGAUAGUCACAGCGUGUAC
rnacentral:rRNA from 1 species